UUACGUCCACAUCACGUUGAAACACCGUUUCUCGUAUGAUCACCGAAGUUAAUCAACGUCGAGCCUGGUCAGUACCUAGAUGGGUGACCGCUUAGGAAUAUCAGGUGCUGUAAG
rnacentral:rRNA from 1 species